CAACUGUUUUUUUGGUCGCUGG
rnacentral:siRNA from 1 species